rnacentral:rRNA from 1 species
AUUUAAUGGCGUGUCGAACGGCAGCACGGGGAGCUUGCAUCUGGCUUUGGCGAGCCCUGGCGAACGGGUGAGUAAUAUAUCGGAACGUACCCUGGAGUGGGGGAUAACGUAGCGAAAGUUACGCUAAUACCGCAUACGAUCUAAGGAUGAAAGUGGGGGACUCGCAAGAACCUCAUGCUCGUGGAGCGGCCGAUAUCUGAUUAGCUAGUUGGUAGGGUAAAAAGCCUACCAAGGGCAUCGAUCAGUAGCUGGUCUGAGAGGACGACCAGCCACACUGGAACUGAGACACGGUCCAGACUCCUACGGGAGGCAGCAGUGGGGGAAUGGACAAUGGCGGGCAACCCUGAUCCAGCAAUGCCGCGUGAGUGAAGAAGGCCUUCGGGUUGUAAAGCUCUUUUACCGUCAGGGAAGAAACGGCGGGUUGGCUAAUAUAGCCGUAUAUGAGGUACCUGAAGAAUAAGCACCGGCUAACUACGUGCCAGCAGCCGCGGUAAUACGUAGGGUGCAAGCGUUAAUCGGAAUUACUGGGCGUAAGGCGUGCGCAGGCGGUUUUGUAAGACUGUCGUGAAAUCCCCGGGCUCAACCUGGGAAUGGCGAUGGUGACUGCAAGGCUAGAGUUUGGCAGAGGGGGGUAGAAUUCCACGUGUAGCAGUGAAAUGCGUAGAUAUGUGGAGGAACACCGAUGGCGAAGGCAGCCCCCUGGGUCAAAACUGACGCUCAUGCACGAUAGCGUGGGGAGCAAACAGGAUUAGAUACCCUGGUAGUCCACGCCCUAAACGAUGUCUACUAGUUGUCGGGUCUUAAUUGACUUGGUAACGCAGCUAACGCGUGAAGUAGACCGCCUGGGGAGUACGGUCGCAAGAUUAAAACUCAAAGGAAUUGACGGGGACCCGCACAAGCGGUGGAUGAUGUGGAUUAAAUU